CAGAGCAGAACAACCAGAGUAGAGAUGCCUAAAAAUCCAACCUAUCUGUAAGCUCCUGUAGACAGUCUCAAACCUUCGGGAGGAUGGGAUUUUUCUGGAUUUGGCUGCCAAUAAUCCUGCCAUCCGAUUGGUGGAGCUGUCCCAGGAAGCUGUUCAGGUUGUACUGAAAGUCCUACCGUUUCUGAAAGAUGGGAUUUCUUGCUGUCUAUUUGCCAUUAUUAAUUCCAUCUCAUCAGUGGAGCUGACCUUUGGACGUGUUAAGUUCAACAUUAAUGUGUCAGUCCCAAUUCCUCCUCCUCUUGCUUUUGGGCCUGUUGAUUUUAACAUCACAUUGAUGGACCAGACCUUUGGAGGUCUUCAGUUCAAAGUUGACAUCUCAAGAGCAGCAAUGCAGCAGCACAAACAGAUGAAGAGGAUGGUACAGGGCUGGAGGUCUCUCCUGGAUGGAUGGAGGAAUCAAGGCCAAGUUUCUGAUCAUUUGCACUUGGAAUAAUUAGGAAUCAGACCAACCUGCUGCAUCAAUACAAAGCCUGGAGAUGCUUGGAAAUAAAAUAUGAAGAACUGGAGGAUAAAUAAAGAUUGUUGAAAAAUAUUACAUAUCAAAGAACGGGAUAAGUAGCAAGUGUGAAAACAUCUGAUAUUUAAUUUGUAACUAUUACAUAUGUUCCUUAAAUAUUAGAAUCAUUGUUUGAAAUAUUAGUGAGGUCCUGUCAGCUAACAACUAAAUUUAAUGAUCUAAAUAUUUGGGUUAAUGUUAAUUGGAUAAAAAAUCAUUAUUCUGUUCUUUGACUUGCAUGCAACUAUUAGAUAAACAGAACUUGCAGUGAAGUUUAGUUGUUGUCAAAAGGUACACGCUAAUACAUAACAGCAUUCAGACAUAUGCCUAGUUUAAUAAAACAUUUCACCGAUUCUUAAAAACUUAAUUGCUGAAUUUGUUAAGCUUUAUCUUUAUAAGUGUUAACAUGACAGUAAUGAGAAAAUGGCUUUAUUAUGACCUUUAGUACCACUGGCGUAAUUCACUGCAUUAUUUCCUUAAUUAAAACAUUAAUAGACCAGAUAGAACAAAUAAAUCUGUCUUGAUAACACAACUCAAUGCAAUCAACAGUUCACUGUUGCUAUGUGUUCUGGAGGGAAAGUCAGGGUUUCUACCAACUGGAAUGAUAAACUGAACUUUACUGGAUUGUUUAAUGACUAGGAUUGAAUUGGAUUGCUGGUAGUUGACUACAUGAUUGGUUAAUAUUCACUGCAUAUUUCUAGAUAAAAUGUUUUGUAAUUGUUAUGAAUCAGAGUUUAGAAAUAAACUGAAUUAAAUAA